GAAAGAUGAAAAGAACUUUGAAAAGAGAGUUAAACAGUACGUGAAAUUGUUGAAAGGGAAACGAUUGAAGUCAGUCAUACCAACGGGAAAUCAACCUUUUGAGCUCGGUCUCGUGGGUUUUGAAGAGUUUCAAAGCCUUCGGAUUCGCGGGAUUGGGAUCUCUUGGUGUACUUUNUCGUACGGUUAGUCAACAUCGGUUUUGAAUGUCAUAAAAUGACUGGAGGAAUGUAGCUUCGAUCUCGUAUUGAAGUGUUAUA
rnacentral:rRNA from 1 species